AGCUUGCUACUUACGAGUGGCGGACGGGUGAGUAACGUAUGGGAAUUUACCGAAUGGAGGGGGACAACAGUUGGAAACGGCUGCUAAUACCGCAUAACGUCGAGAGACCAAAGGGUUUCGACUCGCCAUUUGAUGAGCCCAUAUGAGAUUAGCUAGUUGGUGUGGUAAUGGCUCACCAAGGCGACGAUCUCUAGCUGGUUUGAGAGGAUGACCAGCCACACUGGGACUGAGACACGGCCCAGACUCCUACGGGAGGCAGCAGUGGGGAAUAUUGCACAAU
rnacentral:rRNA from 1 species